UUACUACUCCUCUGUUCGCAAAUACUUGUCGUAAGAACGGAUGUAUCUAGAUGUAUUUUAGUUCUAGAUAUAUUCAUUUGUAUUUAUUUUGUGAUAAGUAAUUUCGGACUGAGGGAGUACUUG
rfam:Hordeum vulgare subsp. vulgare, WGS project CAJW01000000 data, contig: morex_contig_41419